rnacentral:rRNA from 1 species
UACGGAGGGUGCAAGCGUUAUCCGGAUUUACUGGGUUUAAAGGGUGCGUAGGUGGAUAAUUAAGUCAGUGGUGAAAUCUUCAGGCUUAACCUGGAAACUGCCAUUGAUACUAUUUAUCUUGAGUACUUUGGAGGUAAGCGGAAUAUGUCAUGUAGCGGUGAAAUGCUUAGAUAUGACAUAGAACACCAAUUGCGAAGGCAGCUUACUACACAGUAAUUGACACUGAGGCACGAAAGCGUGGGGAUCAAACAGG